AUGUCCUCGUUUUGCAGAGGAAGAGCUUGUGGCAUAGAGAGGCCGAGUAGCAGGUGCAUCUGGAGCUCCCACCUGGUCCCCGCGUCGGUGAUGGCAGCCACGGUGCGGUCCUGGGGCUCAGGCAGGAACGAGGCUCCUGGAGCUUCCAGAAGCCGCCUGCUUUUCGCAUCUUCAGAGCUGGGUGGGUCGCUUCGUCUCAUCCCUGAUCUCUCCCCUCUCAAGACCCCAGGAUCCCACUGGGCCCAUCUUGAUCAUCUGCAAUAAUCUUAUCAUUUAAAAAUACUUAAUUAAAAAAAUACUUAAUGUAAUCCCAUCUAUAAAGCCCUCAGGGCACGUGUCCCCAUCAGGUUCCCAGAACUAGGUCUCGGACAUCUUCGUGGCGCGGGGCAAGGGUGCAUCAUUCCAGUCACCGUGGAGUUUUUGGAUAGUUGAGGUCUACGGAAUCUCCAGGUCUGUAGAAGGUCGGGCCAGACCAAAUUUCUGUGUUUUCUUUUCUUUAAAUUGUGGCUGUCCUUUUCAUUUCCCUCUCCGUUUAUGGCAGCUGAUGGGAGAAGGAAAAGAAAUGGCUUAUUUGGCUAUAUAUAGUCAAAUAUAUAUAUAUUAUAUAUAAAAUAUAAUAUUUUAUAUUAUAUAAUUAUAAUAUGUAUACUUUAAUAUAUAUUAAAUAUAUAUAUUUAUAUAUAUUUUAAUACAUAUAUAUUUUUUCAAGUGAGACCUGAAAGCAUCCACGUGUGUCUGCCUGAGGUGCAGGGGUGCACGUGCUUAUUUCAUGCCCCCCACCCCCCGCCCCGCCUGCAGCCUGGUGCCUCAGGCCAGCUCCUCCCUGUUUUGGGGACCGGAAACUAUUUUCUCCCAUUUCCAGACAUUAUGAAAGGCCAAGUCCAAGUUGACCUGGGUGUUUCCCAUGGCUCCCACACGCAUCACGGCGUGGGGCAUCCUUCCCUCUGCUCUCCCUGGUUUUCUCCCACCCCCCUCGCCCCUACUUCCCCAAUGCCGCACCCAAUAGUAAU
rnacentral:lncRNA from 1 species